rnacentral:tRNA from 1 species
UGGCUCAGUGGUUAAGAGCACUGACUGCUCUUCCAGAGGUCCUGGGUUCAACUCCCAG